rnacentral:rRNA from 1 species
CUACGGGGGGCAGCAGUGGGGAAUCUUGCACAAUGGAGGAAACUCUGAUGCAGCGAUGCCGCGUGAGUGAAGAAGGCCCUUGGGUUGUAAAGCUCUUUUGUCGGGAAAGAUAAUGACUGUACCCGAAGAAUAAGGUCCGGCUAACUUCGUGCCAGCAGCCGCGGUAAUACGAAGGGACCUAGCGUAAUUCGGAAUUACUGGGCGUAAAGCGCGCGUAGGCGGUUAAGUAAGUUAAUUGUGAAAGCCCAAAGCUCAACUUUGGAAUUGCAAUUAAAACUACUUAGCUAGAGUUUAUCAGAGGAAAGCAGAAUACAUAGUGUAGAGGUGAAAUUCGUAGAUAUUAUGUAGAACACCAGUUGCGAAGGCGGCUUUCUGGGAUAACACUGACGCUGAGGUGCGAAAGUAUGGGUAGCGAAGAGGAUUAGAUACCCCCGUAGUC